rnacentral:rRNA from 2 species
AAUACAUGCAAGUCGAACGAGUUCUGAUUAUUGAAAGGUGCUUGCAUCUUGAUUUAAUUUUGAACGAGUGGCGGACGGGUGAGUAACACGUGGGUAACCUGCCCUUAAGUGGGGGAUAACAUUUGGAAACAGAUGCUAAUACCGCAUAAAUCCAAGAACCGCAUGGUUCUUGGCUGAAAGAUGGCGUAAGCUAUCGCUUUUGGAUGGACCCGCGGCGUAUUAGCUAGUUGGUGAGGUAACGGCUCACCAAGGCAAUGAUACGUAGCCGAACUGAGAGGUUGAUCGGCCACAUUGGGACUGAGACACGGCCCAAACUCCUACGGGAGGCAGCAGUAGGGAAUCUUCCACAAUGGACGCAAGUCUGAUGGAGCAACGCCGCGUGAGUGAAGAAGGCUUUCGGGUCGUAAAACUCUGUUGUUGGAGAAGAAUGGUCGGCAGAGUAACUGUUGUCGGCGUGACGGUAUCCAACCAGAAAGCCACGGCUAACUACGUCCAGCAGCCGCGGU